rnacentral:rRNA from 1 species
UACAGAGGGUGCGAGCGUUGUCCGGAAUUAUUGGGCGUAAAGAGCUUGUAGGCGGUUUGUCGCGUCUGCUGUGAAAUUUCGGGGCUCAACCCCGAACUUGCAGUGGGUACGGGCAGACUAGAGUGUGGUAGGGGAGACUGGAAUUCCUGGUGUAGCGGUGAAAUGCGCAGAUAUCAGGAGGAACACCGAUGGCGAAGGCAGGUCUCUGGGCCAUAACUGACGCUGAGAAGCGAAAGCAUGGGGAGCGAACAGG